rnacentral:tRNA from 1 species
CGCGGGAUGGAGCAGUCGGUAGCUCGUUGGGCUCAUAACCCAAAGGUCGCAAGUUCGAGUCUUGCUCCCGCACCCA